rnacentral:rRNA from 1 species
GUUCUUAGUGGCGGACGGGUGAGUAACACGUGAGUAACCUGCCUCUGAGAGUGGGAUAGCUUCUGGAAACGGAUGGUAAUACCGCAUAACAUCAUGGAUUCGCAUGUUUCUAUGAUCAAAGAUUUAUCGCUCAGAGAUGGACUCGCGUCUGAUUAGAUAGUUGGUGAGGUAACGGCUCACCAAGUCGACGAUCAGUAGCCGGACUGAGAGGUUGACCGGCCACAUUGGGACUGAGACACGGCCCAGACUCC